rnacentral:rRNA from 1 species
CAGUCGCCGCGGGAAUACGGAUGGUCCGAGCGUUAAUCGGAAUUACUGGGCGUAAAGCGUGCGCAGGCGGUUUGUUAAGCGAGAUGUGAAAGCCCUGGGCUCAACCUAGGAAUAGCAUUUCGAACUGGCGAACUAGAGUCUUGUAGAGGGGGGUAGAAUUCCAGGUGUAGCGGUGAAAUGCGUAGAGAUCUGGAGGAAUACCGGUGGCGAAGGCGGCCCCCUGGACAAAGACUGACGCUCAUGCACGAAAGCGUGGGGAGCAAACAGGAUUAGAGACCCCAGUAGUCCCUGUCUCUUAUAC